rnacentral:tRNA from 1 species
GUUUAAAUAGUUUAAAUAAAACGUCGGUUUGUGGUGCCGAAAAUAUGAUAUAAGUUCAUUUUAAACC